rnacentral:rRNA from 1 species
CGGAACACGUACACAACCUUCCUUAAAGUGGGGGAUAGCCCAGAGAAAUUUGGAUUAAUACCCCGUAACAUUAUGAAGUGGCAUCACUUUAUAAUUAUAGAUUUAUCGCUUAGAGAUGGCUGUGCGGCUGAUUAGGUAGUUGGCGGGGUAAUGGCCCACCAAGCCUGCGAUCAGUAACUGGUGUGAGAGCACGACCAGUCACACGGGCACUGAGACACGGGCCCG